ACCCUUUUAGCUCAAUGGUUGAGCGUUGGUUUUGAGAGCCACAGGUCGGUGGUUCGAUCCCCGUGCGGGAC
rnacentral:tRNA from 1 species